GCCACGCCUAGGCUGAUCCCCGAAAACCCGCUUCCCCGGCGGGCUGGCGCGGCACCUUCUUUCCGGG
rnacentral:sRNA from 1 species